rnacentral:rRNA from 1 species
GAUGAACGCUGGCGGCGUGCCUAAUACAUGCAAGUCGAGCGAACGGACGAGAAGCUUGCUUCUCUGAUGUUAGCGGCGGACGGGUGAGUAACACGUGGAUAACCUACCUAUAAGACUGGGAUAACUUCGGGAAACAGUAGCUAAUACUGGAUAAUAUUUUGAACCGCAUGGUUCAAAAGUGAAAGACGGUCUUGCUGUCACUUAUAGAUGGAUCCGCGCUGCAUUAGCUAGUUGGUAAGGUAACGGCUUACCAAGGCAACGAUGCAUAGCCGACCUGAGAGGGUGAUCGGCCACACUGGAACUGAGACACGGUCCAGACUCCUACGGGAGGCAGCAGUAGGGAAUCUUCCGCAAUGGGCGAAAGCCUGACGGAGCAACGCCGCGUGAGUGAUGAAGGUCUUCGGAUCGUAAAACUCUGUUAUUAGGGAGGAACAUAUGUGUAAGUAACUGUGCACAUCUUGACGGUACCUAAUCAGAAAGCCACGGCUAACUACGUG